CGCCAUAGAAGGUCUGGAGAAAGCUGGUUUUUCAUAUUUUUACAUCAUGUGAGUUUAAUUCUUACUUUUCUUGAUAAUUUUUAUGUUUUUAUGACUUUUACAAUUAGGUCCAUUUGUAGAAUUCAUUAGUUUUUUAUUUUAUGGGUGAAAUUGGAAGUUACCCUGGAUGGAUAAGGGAAUUUUAUGAUGAAUUAUUAUGAAAUUUAAGUUCUAAUUUCAUAUUAAGGUGGUUUUAUUAAGUGAUUUUGAUAGGAAAUUAUAUUUAGGACCUAAUUGUGAAAAAGUUGUGAAUUGAAGGUUUCUGUUAAAAUUAAGAAUAUAAAAGGUUUUGAAAUAGUUUAUAAUGAUAAAAUAAAGUGUUAAUUGAGAAAAAUUAGUUCAAUUGAUGGGUGAAUUGAGCAGGGACUAAAUUGUGAAAACUGUAAAUUUUUGGGGUAAAAGUGCAAUUUCAAAAUUUGAACAGCAUAAAUUGUGAAGUGAAAUAGAAUUGAAACGGAUGCUAAUGAAGGAAUGAUUUUAUAAUUAUAGAUCAAGAAAACGAACUGAAUCGUGGAAAGGAGAAAAUUCAAGAAUAGUCCCUGAAUUUCUACGACUUUUGCAAAUUAGUCCAGGUAAGUUCAUAUGGCAAAGUUCAAUGUUUUGAUAUGAAAAUCUUAUGAUUGUUAAAGUAUUUCAUUGUUGAUGAAUACUAUCAAUUUGCAUUAAUUAAUAAAUAAUGUGUAACUAAAAGUACAAAUUAGUAGGAACAAUGGAUUUGAGUGUUUCUAUUCUGUGACCCUGAUGAAUUGACGAAAAAUAUGUGAUAAGUGCGCCCGUUUAAGACCAUAGCUGCGCUAUGGCAUCGGUGCAAUGUGAUGAUGUGACUCCGUAUAAGAUCAUAGCUGGGCUAUGGCAUCGGUAUAAUGUGAUAAUGUGAUUCCGUAUAAGACCAUGUCUGGGAUAUGGCUUCGGUAUGAUAUGUGAACCGUGUAAGACCAUGGCAAGGCUAUAGCUUCGGUGUGUGAUGUGUAACAAUGUGAAAGUCCAUAGUUUACUAUGGCAAUGUGAUAAUGAAGCACUCAAUUCCCUUAUUGUUCCUUAAUUUGACAAUGAAGUAAAUGAGAAAUGGGCCUAAGGGAGUUAAAUUGUGAGUAGCCAUAUGGAAAUUAUUCCAAUGAGUUAUUAAUGAAAUUGUGAUUUGGAGGGUGAAAUAGUUAAACUAAUAGAUAUAUGAUUGUGUACGAUAUUUGAUAUGAUUUGUGUUUAUAUGCCUAUGAGCUUACUAAGCUUCAAUAAGCUUACUUGUGUGUGUUUAAUAUUUUUAUGUAGACUGACUUGAAGUGAAGUGGGUAGAUCGGAUCAACACAACAGGGCACACUAUUCAGAUCAAUUCUGAUAGUUUUUGUUUUAUGUUUAAAGAUUUAUAUGGCAUGUAUAGAGUUCGAAUGAAUUGAAGUAAAGAUGUUAUGAACUAGUUAACAAUAUUUGUACUAAAACAGUUUUUGGUAAGUAGC
rnacentral:lncRNA from 1 species